GCCUUCCAAAUUCUAGCCAUUAAUAUUUUGCCUUCCUCUCUGCACCUGAUACAGAAUGCUCCAUAUUAUGCAAGAAAGAUAUCAUAACUCUUAUCUUCCCUAAUGUAAGUACUUGAAUAAUUAAUCUUUCUUUUUCUUGUUGUCAUAUUAUUGUUUCGAUUGCAAUGUAGUUUUAUAAUUUUUAAUUUGACGAGCUAAAAGUGUCUCCAUUUCUAUGGUUAUUUGGCCACUAUAUCUUGGAAGCCUUGUGCCGCAGGACAUGAGUACAUAAUUUCAGGUGAGUAAACACCCACUGAUGGAUGUAUGAAUUGUAAUUUUUGAAAAUAAUUUAAACUAUAUCUUUCUUAUCUGAAGCCACAAAGAGUACUUUGAAUCUUUAUUCUCAUUGUUCUCUUUCUGAAUGGUUAAAUUAGCUGCAAUGGUGGAAAUUCUAGAUCUUACAGCAUAUGCUUAGCCUCUUUGCGAUAAUGGUACCGACUUUGCUACACCGAAGAAAAGUGAAAUAGGAAAACUGGGAAAACUCACCAAUUUUGAACCUUGUCUGUUGAUGAAAAAUUAAUCCGACUUGGUUAACUUAAAUUUAAAAAGUACCAGGCAGAGAUAGCAUGUAGUGAAUGGAACAUACAACUAUUUUCGAGAACUGUUUUAUUAGAACACUAAUGAGUUAAUGUUGAGCACCACUCCAAUGCCAAAAUUGUCUGACUUGGAAAAUACGGAAAUUUUGAUUUUAAGUGGAUGGAGUAGUAUUUUAAAUUCAUCAUCUUAAAACUGUAUUUGGUAACACUUUUGGGAUGGUUGGUAUUGUUUGUAUCGUGCUGCGACCCCUUGACCUAAAAGUCUUUCAUAAGAAAAUUCAAAAAAGGCUUUUGCUUAAACAUAAUUUGGGCGUAGUUUUAUGUUGGAUUGCUUAUAUAUAAUUUUCUUAUAGUUGAUGCUCUUUUUUGUUCAUUCUAUUUACUUAUUCUAUUCUUUUUAUACUUAUUUUUUUGUUACUCAUAUAAUGACUAUAGUUUUCCUAUUACAUUUUACGUAAUUAUUUCCUCUUUCUGGAGAUGGACAGUGCUGUAUCUUCUGCUGAAUUUGGGAUUGAUAGCAUUAACGAAGAAAGAACUUCAAAAUAAGAGAUGGCAAGUCUUAUAUGCCUAGAAGAAAGAAGCUUGAAACAUGUGCAAGAAAGAAAUACAAAAAUAAUCUAUGAAGUUGCGAGAUAGGCAAAGGAAAUAGAGGUAUUGCAAGUGACCCGAGCCGUGGAAUGACCAUACAUAAAUUCAAAUAUUAGGCAAUUGCUUAAUAAAGAUAAUAGUUUUAAUUCUUCUAGGUUAUUAAUGGUGAGGAUUUUAUGAUAGUUUGAAUUUAGGAUUACACUAAUACCGAUAUAUUUUUUCUUUCAUCAUAGUCUAACGAUAUUUUCAUAUAGUUAGAUACUUAACUUUCGCAACUUUCAAUCUGUUUACCGAGUUUUGCUGUCUUGAUAACUUAUUGAUAUUUUGUUCAGUUGUUGAACUUCGUUUCAAUGUGCCUACUGCAUACGCACAGAAUAGAGAAUCAUGUGCAUUUUAAUAUAGCAUAUUAAAUGUUUCCAUAAUCAAUAUCUCUUUUCUACAAGAUUCUUCGAUUUCUAUAUUUUUUUCGUAAUUAAAAUAUGUAUAUUAGAAAACUUUGCUAUCAUUGUUGCAUAAUUAGUCAGCG
rnacentral:lncRNA from 1 species